GCACAAAGCUCCCCUUGCUUCUGCACUGUGACCCAGUCAGCCCCUCCCUGCCACACCCUUUGCACCCCCACCUUCCAGAGCUCUUUCACUUUUAUUCACAGACUGCUCUGAGUCCUAAGGGUCACCCAGCAACACUGUGCUCACCGUUGAUAGAUUGAGGUAUCUAUCAAACUAGUGGGUCUACCAUCAAGUCCCAGAAGGUCAACCCUACUGGAAGAGAAAAGGGUCAGAGACAACUGUGACAUCCUCAGGAAAAAAAAACAUGCGGAAACCCACAGAACUUUGCUCUACUUCAGAAAUCAGCAGCUUCUGAUUGGAAUUCUUGGUCUGUUUGCAGAAGAGUAUAUCUCACAUGUGCAUCUGCAAGCCUGGGAGAGAUUUCCUCCCCUCACUUCCCAGUGCACCUCAAUACGCCAAAAUCGACUAGGGGCUGUCAUCGUCACCUGUAGAAAGGGGGCUGCUCAG
rnacentral:lncRNA from 13 species